UACGUAGGGUGCAAGCGUUGUCCGGAAUUACUGGGCGUAAAGGGCUCGUAGGCGGCCAACUAAGUCAGACGUGAAAUCCCUCGGCUUAACCGGGGAACUGCGUCUGAUACUGGAUGGCUUGGAUCCGGGAGAGGGAUGCGGAAUUCCAGGUGUAGCGGUGAAAUGCGUAGAUAUCUGGAGGAACACCGGUGGCGAAGGCGGCAUCCUGGACCGGCAUUGACGCUGAGGAGCGAAAGCCAGGGGAGCAAACGGG
rnacentral:rRNA from 1 species